GAUGAACGCUGGCGGCGUGCUUAACACAUGCAAGUCGAACGAAGCACUUUAUUUGAUUUCCUUCGGGACUGAUUAUUUUGUGACUGAGUGGCGGACGGGUGAGUAACGCGUGGGUAACCUGCCUUGUACAGGGGGAUAACAGUUGGAAACGGCUGCUAAUACCGCAUAAGCGCACGGCAUCGCAUGAUGCAGUGUGAAAAACUCCGGUGGUAUAAGAUGGACCCGCGUUGGAUUAGCUAGUUGGUGAGGUAACGGCCCACCAAGGCGACGAUCCAUAGCCGACCUGAGAGGGUGACCGGCCACAUUGGGACUGAGACACGGCCCAAACUCCUACGGGAGGCAGCAGUGGGGAAUAUUGCACAAUGGGCGAAAGCCUGAUGCAGCGACGCCGCGUGAGCGAAGAAGUAUUUCGGUAUGUAAAGCUCUAUCAGCAGGGAAGAUAAUGACGGUACCUGACUAAGAAGCACCGGCCAAAUACGUG
rnacentral:rRNA from 1 species